rnacentral:rRNA from 1 species
CCAGACUCCUACGGGAGGCAGCAGUGGGGAAUAUUGCACAAUGGGGGAAACCCUGAUGCAGCGACGCCGCGUGAGUGAAGAAGUAUUUCGGUAUGUAAAGCUCUAUCAGCAGGGAAGAAAUAGCGACCUUUGGGUCGCCAGACGGUACCUGAUUAAGAAGCCCCGGCUAACUACGUGCCAGCAGCCGCGGUAAUACGUAGGGAGCAAGCGUUGCCCGGAAUUACUGGGCGUAAAGGGCGCGUAGGUGGGCGCUUAAGUCAGGUGUGAAAGGCCGGGGCCCAACCCCGGGACUGCUCUGGAAACUAUUGAACUUGAGUGCAGGAGAGGUAAGCGGAAUUCCUAGUGUAGCGGUGAAAUGCGUAGAUAUUAGGAGGAACACCAGUGGCGAAGGCGGCUUACUGGACUGUAACUGACGUUGAGGCUCGAAAGCGUGGGGAGCAAACAGGAUUAGAUACCCCCGUACU